UACGUAGGUGGCUAGCGUUGUCCGGAUUUACUGGGCGUAAAGAGCGCGCAGGCGGUCGUUCAAGUCGAGUGUGAAAGCCCCCGGCUCAACUGGGGAGGGUCACUCGAUACUGAUCGACUCGAAGGCAGAAGAGGGAAGCGGAAUUCCCGGUGUAGUGGUGAAAUGCGUAGAUAUCUGGAGGAAUACCGGUGGCGAAGGCGGCAUCCUGGACCGACAUUGACGCUGAGGAGCGAAAGCUAGGGGAGCAAACGGG
rnacentral:rRNA from 1 species